CACUAUGGAAGGGGCCCAAGGGUGGUUAUCUAGGGCCGAGGGGGAUGUUCCCCUUCUGCGCGGAUCCCUCUUUGUCCUGCGAGACUGAUCACGCACACUGGGACUGAGACACGGUUUCCAGUCCUACGGUUGGGGGCCGUGGGGAAUAUUAAACAAUGGGCGCAAGCCUGAUGCAGCCAUGCCGCGUGUGUGAAGAAGGCCUUCGGGUUGUAAAGUACUUUCAGCGGGGAGGAAGGCGAUGCGGUUAAUAACCGCGUCGAUUGACGUUACCCGCAGAAGAAGCACCGGCUAACUCCGUGCCCAGCAGCCGCGGUAAUACGGAGGGUGCAAGCGUUAAUCGGAAUUACUGGGCGUAAAGCGCACGCAGGCGGUCUGUUAAGUCAGAUGUGAAAUCCCCGGGCUUAACCUGGGAACUGCAUUUGAAACUGGCAGGCUUGAGUCUUGUAGAGGGGGGUAGAAUUCCAGGUGUAGCGGUGAAAUGCGUAGAGAUCUGGAGGAAUACCGGUGGCGAAGCGGCCCCCUGGACAAAGACUGACGCUCAGGUGCGAAAGGUGGGGAGCAAACAGGAUUAGAUACCCUGGGAGUCCACGCCGUAAACGAUGUCGACUUGGAGGUUGUUCCCUUGAGGAGUGGCUUC
rnacentral:rRNA from 1 species